GCUGGAUGUGGUGGCCCACACCUGUAGUCUUAACAACUCAGGAAGCUGAGGCAGGAGAAUGGGAAGUUUGAGGCCAGCCUGGGGACCUUAGUGAAGCCCUAAGAAACUUAAUGAGACCCUGUCUCAA
rnacentral:sRNA from 1 species